UCCAAUGCCUUGUCAUAGCUCCAAGGAUUUUUCUGUUCUGGGUCUCUAGCCUCAGUCUGUCUCAACGAAGUAAUGCAGAAAUUGUAUUAAUCCAAGAGAAAUUUGGGGCAUAUCAUGAAGGCUGAUUAGGAGGUAGGUAUCUACAGAGCCAGGGGCCCAGCAUCUUAUUUUUGGGCCCCUGUCUGGAUGCAGGUAGAGAUCUGGAUUUAGAUAUACCAGAAUUGCAACUAGCAACGUAAGAUAAAGGUUUGCUUUGCAUCUCAGUGCAGCGUUACUAUUGCUACAACAGUCCUCUCUAACCUGAUGAGGUUUUGGCUCAGUAAUAACAUAAAAUGAGCUAUCACUCUGUACAUCUUCACAGAGCGCAUAACAUAUUAAGGCCCUGACCUCAACGGCAUGAAACUACAAUUUCCCUGUAAGUGCAAAACAAUAAUACUUCAUUAAUCAUCCACAACAAAAAUCCCCAUUCCCCAGACUAUUCUGGCAAUAUUCUGCAUUUUUGCUUGUCUAGGAACCUGAAUUAAAAGGGAGAAAAAUGGUUUACAACAGCCCGUGGCAGUGAUGUAGCAAGAGACCUUAUGUAAGAGCUGGCGGCAUGCUCGCCUUGCAAGGGUGAGGUGUAGGAAUGAGUGAUCCUGGAAGGAUGUUUCUCUGAGGUGUGUUCUGUGCCUGGGCUGGGAACAGCAGUCUCAAGGGCACAAAUUCCAGCAUCUGAAUGUGCUUGGUCUUGUUCAUCUCAUUAAUUUCUUACAGCUAUCCCAAGUGAAGCUACAAAAUCCCUGAGUACUUUACUCAAAGCCUUUCAUGGCUUGUCAAUAAAUUAUUUUCAAAUUAACUACCUGAUAAUUUGAAUCUGCAGGCUCUUAAAAGAUGCAGCGUGGUGCAAGAGAAAAAAAUAAUGGAAGUCACCGACUUUGCCCAUAAAAAAGAACAAAGGUUCUUCUCUGAAGUAUUAUUCAGUUUGGUGCUUCUGAAAAGUAGUGGUAUGGUGGCUCCACCACUGCCCUGGGCAGACUGUUCUAGGGCUUGACAACCCUUUUGAGGAAGAAAUUUUUCUUACUAUACACAGUGCCGCUCAACUGGGUGUCAUCUAAAGACUUACUGAGGGUUCCACCAAACCCCUCAUCCAGAUUGUUGAUAAAGAUAAUAAACAGAACUGGAAUGAAUUGUCACUGUCUGUCUGGGAAUAAUUCUGCUGUGGGAUUCCUGCACAUCUUUUUCCUUUGACUUCUUCCUUCAUCACAUGGGGAACCAGCAAAGUCAACCACUGUGCCAGAAAGUAAGGAACACAAUUUGGGCAGUUUGCUAAAAUCGAGUGCCUUGACACUUCAGUUAAACUUGUCCAGAUGAACCAAAGCUGCUUCUCUGCUGCUCAGUUCUCUGAGAUCUGGGAGACAAUUUGCUGCAUGUAUUUAUGAAAGAGGCGUAUCUCCCUUUUACCGCCAAGUGUUGUAACGAAGUCAAGUGGAAAAGUGCCAUUUGCCGUAUAAUAAAAACCCUCUAUUGUUCAUAGAAAUGAACACCUAAUAAUAAAACCUUAAAUUUCA